ACAUGAGCUCUAUAAGAACGUAGGAACUCAAAGUCCAUGGUUAAGCUGUACUUGCUUCCAGAAAUCUUCAAUCAAUUCAAAAAUCACAUUCGAAGCAAAGCACCAAGGUCAAUUGAUGACUCCCAUCAGAUAAAGUCAAGAUAUUGAGCUAAGGAUCGAACCAUGCAUUGGUCAAAUUCCCUAAUAUUUGUUCAGAUUGUAUGAUUGUGUGGAUCUACCAUUUGUAAUAAUGUAUUAUAUUCCACAUCGGUGGGACUACCUUCUUACAAGUAUGCGAGAUGCAUGUAUCUGUGCUCUGAUGUAAUCUUGGAUCCUAUAUAAAUGCAAUUACAACUAUUUUUA